rnacentral:rRNA from 1 species
AGCGAACGCUGGCGGCAGGCCUAAAACAUGCAAGUCGAACGAACCCUUCGGGGUUAGUGGCGGACGGGUGAGUAACACGUGGGAACGUGCCCUUUGGUUCGGAACAACUCAGGGAAACUUGAGCUAAUACCGAAUGUGCCCCUUCGGGGGAAAGAUUUAUCGCCAUUGGAGCGGCCCGCGUCUGAUUAGCUAGUUGGUGAGGUAAAGGCUCACCAAGGCUACGAUCAGUAGCUGGUCUGAGAGGAUGAUCAGCCACACUGGGACUGAGAC